CCUACGGGGAGGCAGCAGUGAGGAAGAUUGGGCAAUGGGCGCGAGCCUGAACCAGCCAAGGAGCGUGAAGGAUGACUGCCCGAAGGGUUGGAAACUUCUUUUAGAAAGGAAGAAAGUGAGGCACGUGUGCCUUUUUGUAUGUACUUUAUGAAGAAGGAUCGGCUAACUCCGUGCCAGCAGCCGCGGUAAUACGGAGGAUCCGAGCGUUAUCCGGAUUUAUUGGGUUUAACGGGAGCGUAGAUGGGUUGUUAAGUCAGUUGUGAAAGUUUGCGGCUCAACCGUAAAAUUGCAAUUGAUACUGGCAGUCUUGAGUACAGUUGAGGUAGGCGGAAUUCGUGGUGUAGCGGUUAAAUGCUUAGAUAUCACGAAGAACUCCGAUUGCGAAGGCAGCUUACUAAACUGCCACUGACAUUGAUGCUCGAACGUGUGGGUAUCAAACAGGAUUAGAUACCCUUGUAGUC
rnacentral:rRNA from 1 species